rnacentral:tRNA from 2 species
GGUGCCAUCGUCUAACGGUUAGGAUACUAGACUUUCAAUCUGGUGACGGCGGGUUCGAUUCCCCCUGGCACUACCA